ACGGAAGGCAGCAGUGGGGAAUAUUGCACAAUGGGCGAAAGCCUGAUGCAGCGACGCCGCGUGAGUGAAGAAGUAUCUCGGUAUGUAAAGCUCUAUCAGCAGGGAAGAAAAUGACGGUACCUGACUAAGAAGCCCCGGCUAACUACGUGCCAGCAGCCGCGGUAAUACGUAGGGGGCAAGCGUUAUCCGGAUUUACUGGGUGUAAAGGGAGCGUAGACGGUUUGGCAAGUCUGAAGUGAAAUGCGGGGGCUCAACUCCUGGACUGCUUUGGAAACUGUCGAACUAGAGUGCAGGAGAGGUAAGUGGAAUUCCUAGUGUAGCGGUGAAAUGCGUAGAUAUUAGGAGGAACACCAGUGGCGAAGGCGGCUUACUGGACUGUAACUGACGUUGAGGCUCGAAAGCGUGGGGAGCAAACAGGAUUAGAUACCCUGGUA
rnacentral:rRNA from 1 species